ACAUUAAAAAAAUAAAAGUUCACCUCUCUUCAGUUACAAAAAAAAAAAAAUCUUCAAUGUAUAACUUAAAAAUUGAAAACGUUUCUCUAAGUUGCCCACUUAGUGAUGAUGAAAUCCGGGUCUGGGAUUACCCGCACCAGCAAAUGGUCUUGGCUAUAGCACGACCCAGUCACCCUGCCCUUCAACGUAGGGUUGUAUUAAUCGUGUUUGUUACUUUCUGUAUAUUAUGAUUUGACAUCUUAAAACCCUGACCCACUGGCGAGAGACUGCCCCCUCCCUACCCAAUUCUGAAAGACAGCAAAGGACUCAGACGGGAGCAUGCCUGCCGUGCGCAAGCUAACCACCCAGAGCUAGACCUCCGCUAGGUGGCCUGCACAGCCCAGAUGGAAUCAUUCCAGGCCCAGGUGCCAGAAACACCAUAGAGGCUCUGGCCUUGCCCUGCGCGUUAGCUCCCUGAUGAGAACUUGGCCUUCCUCUGCGGCCCCGCGAGGCGAGCCCUGCCUCUCGUUUCCAGGGGGAGACCGCGAGCGAUGGUCAACAUUUCCAUCGAUGGCAUUGGCCCCUUUGCGUCCUCAGUCACCUCUACAAAUCAAGCCCCGGGCACAGAGUAUGGCUCCAACCCGUCUUUUGAGUCCACGCCUGUCACUGUCUGAGUUCUAACCUCCAAAGUUUCUCGAGACCAAGAGGGGGCCCCCCACUUUGCCUGAUGGUCGAUGGACACCAUACCUAUUAGUCCAUGUGCUUUAGGUGAAAACUUGUUUGUGGGGGGAAUGUAGAUCCCCAGAAAGUCUACGUUGAUCGGAUGCUUCUUCCAAACCCGAUGGAGUAAAACAGAGAAGGACAUGUCUUUAUUCAGGGUGAUGGUCACAGUUUGCUCUUUCUUCACAGAGACAAGCACCCUGGUGUGAAAGCCAAAAUGGAGUCAACAUUUCUAAAACAACCGUUCAGGACGCCAUUCCUCCCACCCCGGACACGAGCUGGCCACCCCUCCCUGGACAAUCUCACUAGUGGUCUAAGUCCUUCACAACGUUUUUGCCACAGAAUGUUGUUUUCACUCCCGGCUCUGGCAUUCUGUCAAUUUAUAUGUUUGUAUAAAAACAAUUAGCAGGGGGAUGCCUGGGAGGCUCAGUUGGUUGAGCAUCCGACUCUUGAUUUUGGCUCAGGUCAUGAUCCCAGUGGGGUGAGAUCAAGCCCUGCGUUGGACUCCCCACUGAGCGUGGAGCCUGCUUAAGAUUCUCUCUCUCUCUCUCUCUCUCUGCCCUCCUCCUGCUCAUGCUCUCUCUAAAAUUAAAAUUAAAACAAUUAACAGAUAAUAAUGGGAAAAUAUUACUCCUAAGAUACAAUCAUUGUGUUUCUGAGCACAGUCUGACACGGAGUCGGCCGUGAAGUUUUGAUGGAUUCAUUCACUUUUCUGACACGUAUUUACUGCGUACCUACUACAUGCCUGGCCGUAGGCUGGCACUGAGACACGCAGUGACCAAAAGAUGUGGACCCUGUUGCCAGGAACGGGGGAGUAGGUAACAAAAGCCUUUCUGAAGCGCUCGUCUUCAUAUUUAAAAUGACAAUGUUAAGUUCUAGUUUAUAUCACGGAUCUCUGGAUUUAUGUACGUAGUCGUGUGGAGGGCGGGCCUGAAUCCAGACGUGAUAACACUUGCCUCUGAUUAAUGAUGCGAGCAGUGUCAGACCAGGACAGGAUGGACGUAUGGGAGCCCCGGCUCAGGGUGAUGGUCUCGGUGCUGAUUUCUAUUUUCAUGUCUUCACUUUGGAAGUAAAACCCCAGUUUUCCGAAA